rnacentral:rRNA from 1 species
UAAAUGAUAUUUAUAUUUAGUAAGACCUGCUCAAUGUAUAAUAAAUAGCCGCGGCUAUCCGUGCUAAGGUAGCAUAAUCAUUUGCCUCUUAAUUAGGGGCUAGAAUGAAAGGUCUAACAUAUUAUUAUCUUUAUUAAAAUAUUUUCUUAAAAUUUUCCAGUAAGUAAAAAGACUUACAUUAUUUAGGGGGACGACAAGACCCUAUCGAACUUUACUUUAAGUUAAGCUGGGGUGGCCAAAAAACAAUUUCUUCUUCCCCCUCCUCCAAAAAAAACCUUAAUUUGAUCAACCAAGUUACCGUAGGGAUAACAGCAUGAUCCUUUUUUAUAGGUCCAUAUUAUAAAAAA